rnacentral:tmRNA from 1 species
UCAGUGGAAAUCAGCCGCCAUCACGCCUAUAUGGACCCUGUCCAUGACUGGACUAUGACGAUAAACGCGCACGAAAUAAACGGACCGGACCCGGGGGCGGUACCCGGCGACUCCACCAUUCUGCACCGUCUUGGCGGGUGCCAUGGGGUCGAAAUAGGAUUGACGGACGCGUAAAGGUGUUGGCUUUCGUUCAGCGAGGUACCACUGUUAUCGGUCCACAAAGCACAAUUGCCAAUGACAAUCGUGCCCCGGUCGCGCUUGCUGCAUAGCAGCCGGUUGAACCGGAAAUGACUCUGGAGCAAUUAUGCACGCUCCAGCGGGGUUCGGCAGGCACCUGGCAACAAGAGCCUGCCAUU